UACGUAGGGUGCGAGCGUUGUCCGGAAUUAUUGGGCGUAAAGGGCUCGUAGGCGGUUUGUCGCGUCGGCCGUGAAAUCUCCACGCUUAACGUGGAGCGUGCGGUCGAUACGGGCAGACUUGAGUUCGGUAGGGGAGACUGGAAUUCCUGGUGUAGCGGUGAAAUGCGCAGAUAUCAGGAAGAACACCAGUGGCGAAAGGCGGCU
rnacentral:rRNA from 1 species